AUCCAUUUCAUUUAGCAAAUAGUGUUGGUCCCAGGAAAAAGCACCAAGCCUGGGAAUCCCUGCCACAAUGACAGAAUCACAUUCAACAGCUGCUUCCAGCAUAGGAUGCAAUCCCCGCCGCCAGCAUCCCUCCCACCUCCAGAAAUAGUAAACAUCUGCCAAGAGAGAGCCCCAUUAGUAAAAUUCCCACCUUCUAAGGGUCAUCGAUUGGCUUUCUUCUGAGCUUCCUGCCUGCUUCCCUCAUCUCUGCAGCCUGUUAGAGCCUGCCACGACCGCGUGGGCAACCCCUAGCUGCAGUUUCUUUCCUCUUCUCUGCCCUCAGCACUUUCCCCUCCAGGAGCACAACUCUGAGCUGUCAUUCCUGUCAACCAGAUGGGAGAUCAGCCACAAAGCUGCUCCGCCUCUCGCAAGGACAGGAACUCUUGUGGCAGGCAGGCUUUCGGGGCGGCUCCAAGAGGGAGUGAGUGAGUCUGGGCCUCUUAGUCGCUGUGGUCAUGCUUCACUGCAGCCAGCGUGGAGCAGGAUGCUGACAGCAGAGUGGCUCCAGUGAGCUGCCAUUCCAGAUGUCAGGAACAAGCUCACAGACUGAGUGAAGCCGAGAAGGAUUGCAAACACCAGUGAGAAAGGGCUGGGAGACAACAGUGACGGAGAAGAGGAGCAGGCUUUCAGGCGAUAAGGUGGCUGUGAACUGCUUUGAAAUGAGGACAGGCCUCCUGGGAGGAGGGAAGAAUGCACCGAAGCAUGCACUGAUGAAAGUUUCUAUCCAAAGACCCAGAGCCACACUGCUCUUCAUGGAAUGGGGCUGUAUCCUGGCUCAACAACCACAGCAUUUUCACACUUAACAAAAGAAAAGGUCUGUCAAAAUCCAGUAUGCCACCAACUGGGGAAUAUAAACCCCCUUUCUACUUUUUUUAAGUUUACAACAAAUUCAUAAAGCAAAGAGGCUUUUUUAUUUCAUGUUUGUCAAUAAACCUGGCAAUAGAAAUACCAAUUUGAACAGCAAUUUUCCUGCUGGUCUGAGCUGAAAUUAGCUAUGGAUGAAUUGGUUUUCAGUUUUUACAUGUAAAUAAUCUCCACACCCCCUGCUCCUAUAGACAGUUGUAAGACAUUACCCUGUUUCAUGGCCAUGUCUCUGCCCAAAUCUUUGGUUCUUGAAGGUGACACCCAUUUUUGCUGCAAUGACUCUGACCAAUUCUGGUCUAAAGCCUGGGCACAAAGGGCAUAUUGCUGCAACCACAUGGCCAGCAGGGAGGCGGAGGUGGCAGCCUGUCCAGACAGGGUGGAGAAAGGCUUGGAAUAUGGAUGUCCUGAGGACCAAUGGAGGCUUGCCC
rnacentral:lncRNA from 1 species